rnacentral:piRNA from 1 species
UCACUUGUAUUUUGAUUUCUCUGUGGCCGC